UGAGAGAAGAAUGUUUUUCACACGGACAGUUCUAUGUCGCAUGUUCUAGAGUUAGCUCUGCCAAUAGUUUGGUUAUUUUAGCCCUAAAAGGCAGUAGAAACAAUAAUGUUUAUAAAGAAUUAUUGAGAUGAAUAAAAUAUGUCAAUGUAAAUAUUUUUUUUUAGUUUUUAUAACACCAUAAUGUAUAUUUUUUGGCGACUUAUAAUUGUUAUAAUACAUGGAAACCUAGAAUCAACAUAAUUUCUAAAAGCAGAUUGUAAUAAAUAUAAAAACUGAUUGAAUAAAAGUUUUAGUAGGUAACACAAAAAACUGUACACGGGCAAAGCCGGGUUAUUCAGCUAAUUUUAUUAUACCUAUAUAGUAUAUAUAUUUUUUAUUUUAUGCGUACGCCGUAACGCUGAUAAACUAUAUUGUUACAUUUCUGUAUUAAAAAAAAAAACAUUUUAGGUUUUGAGAGAAUCGACAAAUCACAGAUGUAUUUAUUUUGAUAUCUGUCGUCAAACAUUGGAGCAGUAAAAAUGCUUAGAUUUUUAAUAUCGAUAAUUUGUCUAGUACCUACUAUAAAAUACUUUUCUCAGUGAAUUAGAAACGAAGUAUAGGUACAAAGAGCUAUAAUAAUAAUUUGAAAACGAUAAUGGUAUAGAGAAUGACAAUAUAAAUGAUCAAGAAAAUUUCUAGUUUCUUAUUCUUUAUUUUUUUUAAUAUUGUAACAUAAUAUAGUCGGCGACUUUGGACGUGUUUCCUGUGAUAGGUGUUUGGUACGGCGAAUGAUAUUUUUUCAGCGAGACAGCUAUAAAUCCGCACCGAGUUCUGUCCAUCGUGUCUUGAUUCAAGUACCAUAAAUUUUAUAUUGGACGUCGAACUUGUAUAAUGCAUUUUCGGUAGACCGGAGAAGUCUUUAUUAUAUAGAUUUGUCAUCGAUGAAGUUUGGUUAUCAAUAUUCCGUCUAACUUUAGAUUAGUGCAAUAGUGUUUGCCAAUACCGUUACUCGAAAUGUCAAUUGCAUUUUACAAACGACUGUAUUGAACUUAUAAUCUUACCGAGCAUCGUGUUACUCAUGGCCCGAAGCAAUUGCCAGUGGUGACGAUAAUAAAAUAGUUUUUAUUUUAUUUUAUAAAAUCGUUUUCAAAAAACUAUAAAAUUCAUCAAAUAACGUACAAUCAGUUAUACAGUAAUACUUAAUGCAGUUUCAUGUGCGGACCACAAUAAAAAUUUAUUUAUUUCUACUAUGUGCUUUACAAUAGGAACUUGAAAAAAAAAUGCUAUAUGAGUUAACCAUAAGAAAACGUUCCGUGAUUGAAUAAACAGCAUAUCCUAUAGAGACCGGACAACACUUAUAGCCAGCCAGCUAGGUUACACGAAUAAAAAAAAAGUUUUCUCGUGUUCACGAAAUGAGCCGAUUUAUUUUAAUUAUUAACAAUACUGAUUAAAUGUCUAAUGAAAAAAAAAAAAAAUAAAUAAAUAGAAUUGUUUGACAUAAUGCACGAUUACAAUAUAGGAGUAAUGCCAUAGAUAUAUUGUAUUAUAAAACCAAUUUAGCUAUUUACAUAUAAAUAUAUUCUGGCCACAAAAACAAUAGAAAUGUUGUCGUCAAUGAUAUGAUUUUUCGGUGUUAAAAUAUAUCUAUUCAUUCCUGUUAGACAUAAAAUUUCGUCAGUACUAUUUUGAACGUUCAACCGUAGACAUCUGCAGUAUAAAAUAAAUUUAACUCGUCUAUAGUAUAAAGAAUUCAUAAUUUCUACUUUUCUUUUGGCAUUCUAGAAUCCUAUUCUAAUAGUAAGCAAUAUUGAACAAUUGUUUAAAUUGUGAUAUUUCAAUUGUGCUUAAUUCAUUCAAGAUGAAUUUUUUGAACUCCUUGCAAAAACUAAAGACGUGGUCGGCAGAUUCCUAUUCGUUUAUUCAACGGUUAUUAGGAAUCGUGUAUUUAUUCAUUCUGGACUCGCUCAUGCCCGGCGAAGUCGAUAUCGCCGAUGCGCCUGGAACAAUUAUUGACGAGCGCCUCGGUGCAUUAGAGGACGCCGUCCGGCUACUCUCGGCCGAGUUCGCGCAGUUCAAGUUUAACCACGCGCUUACAAACCAGGUGCCAACAGCUCAAGGGUCAACAAAUCGAGCGCCAACAGUACAAUCAGUAACAAAUCGCGCUCCAACAAAUCGCGCGACGCUAAUUCAAGCGCCAACCAAUCGCGCGCCAACAAAUUGCGCGCCAACAAAUAGCGCUACUCUAAUUCAAACCUCUGAACAAACCCAUACAAUCCCAAAGUCGUGGUGUUAUUACCACGUCCGGUUCGGAAAAGAAGCGUACAAGUGCUCUAGCGAGCUUUGCACGUUCACGCCAAAGAUAUCGACAAAAAAUAAAACAUUUAAGAAGACGUUAUAUACCUCUAAUAAACCGGAAAAAUGCACCUACCCGUGCUCUGAAUGGAGAGACUUUUAGUAUAUUCAGACCUUAGUCUUAGUCUUUAUGUUUAUGUUUAUCUUUAUGUUUCUUUCUUUAAAAAAUGUUUUCUUUUUUUUUUCUUAUCUUUAUUGUAAAUUGUUAUAUAAAUAAAACUUAUCAAGAAAAUAUAA